rnacentral:rRNA from 1 species
UACAGAGGUCUCAAGCGUUGUUCGGAAUCACUGGGCGUAAAGGGUGCGUAGGCCGCACGGUAAGUCAGAGGUGAAAUCCCCGGAGCUCAACUUCGGAAUUGCCUCCGAUACUGCCGUGCUUGAGGACUGGAGAGGAGUCUGGAAUUCACAGUGGAGCAGUGAAAUGCGUAGAUAUUGUGAGGAACACUAGUGGCGAAGGCGAGACUCUGGACAGUUCCUGACGCUGAGGCACGAAGGCCAGGGGAGCAAACGGG